UACGAAGGGGGCUAGCGUUGUUCGGAAUUACUGGGCGUAAAGCGCGUGUAGGCGGGCCGUUAAGUCGGGGGUGAAAGCCCAGAGCUCAACUCUGGAAAUGCCUUAGAUACUGGCGGCCUGGAGCAUGAUAGAGGCGAGUGGAAUUGCGAGUGUAGAGGUGAAAUUCGUAGAUAUUCGCAGGAACACCGGUGGGGAAGGCGACUCGCUGGAUCAUUGCUGAAGCUGAGACGCGAAAGCGUGGGGAGCAAACAGG
rnacentral:rRNA from 1 species